rnacentral:rRNA from 1 species
CCUACGGGCGGCUGCAGUGGGGAAUAUUGGACAAUGGGGGCAACCCUGAUCCAGCCAUGCCGCGUGUGUGAAGAAGGCCCUCGGGUUGUAAAGCACUUUCAGUGAGGAAGAACGCCUGGUGGUUAAUACCCAUCAGGAAAGACAUCACUCACAGAAGAAGCACCGGCCAACUCCGUGCCAGCAGCCGCGGUAAUACGGAGGGUGCGAGCGUUAAUCGGAAUUACUGGGCGUAAAGCGCGCGUAGGUGGCUUGAUAAGCCGGUUGUGAAAGCCCCGGGCUCAACCUGGGAACGGCAUCCGGAACUGUCAAGCUAGAGUGCAGGAGAGGAAGGUAGAAUUCCCGGUGUAGCGGUGAAAUGCGUAGAGAUCGGGAGGAAUACCAGUGGCGAAGGCGGCCUUCUGGACUGACACUGACACUGAGGUGCGAAAGCGUGGGUAGCAAACAGGAUUAGAUACCCCAGUAGUC